CAGGUGUGGUUCAAUGGUAGAACAUCAGCCUUCCAAGCUGAAUACGUGGGUCCGAUUCCCAUCACCUG
rnacentral:tRNA from 1 species